rnacentral:rRNA from 1 species
AUGGCGUCGGAGACAUCUUUAUCUGAUUUUGAGGCUUCUUCGUGCGACUCCUCCAAAAUUAUCUUAGGAUCGGCUGGCUCAUCCUCAUCAUCCGAAAAGAAAACAGAGACAAAACAGAUUUGUUUCAAUGACAUAUCUAAUCACACUGAAAUUGAUGUCGAAGACAUGAUCAUUCACAUCAAUUGAAGCAGACAGGAAGGGCGUGGAUGCUACCAUUUAACGAAUGCAAUGCAAGCAAGGUAG